rnacentral:rRNA from 1 species
CAGCCGUAAACUAUGCGCGUUAGGUGUAUCGGUGACCACGAGUUACCGAGGUGCCGAAGGGAAACCGUGAAACGUGCCGCCUGGGAAGUACAGUCGCAAGGCUGAAACUUAAAGGAAUUGGCGGGGGAGCACCACAACAGGUGGAGCCUGCGGUUUAAUUGGACUCAACGCCGGGAAGCUCACCGGAUAGGACAGCAGAAUGAUUGCCGGGCUGAAGACCCUGCAUGACUAGCUGAGAGGUGGUGCAUGGCGUAGACGUCU